rnacentral:rRNA from 1 species
AUUGAACGCUGGCGGCAUGCUUUACACAUGCAAGUCGGACGAGUGGCGAACGGGUGAGUAACGCAUCGGAACGUACCGAGUAAUGGGGGAUAACUGUCCGAAAGGACAGCUAAUACCGCAUAUUAUUCGAGCGGCCGAUGUCUGAUUAGCUGGUUGGCGGGGUAAAGGUCCACCGAGGCGACGAUCAGUAGCGGGUCUGAGAGGAUGAUCCGCGGCCCUGGGACUGGGACGGGGCCCAGACUCCGAAGGGAUGCAGCAGAGGGGAAUUUUGGGAAAUGGGCGCGAGCCGUAUACAGCCAUGCGGCGUGUCUGAAGAAGGCCUUCGGGUGGUAAAGAACUUUUGUCAGGGAAGCGGUACCUGAAGAAUAAGCACCGGCUAACUACGUGCCAGCAGCCGCGGUAAUUC